rnacentral:misc_RNA from 1 species
GAUGAAGAACGUAGCGAAAUGCGAUAAGUAAUGUGAAUUGCAGAAUUCAGUGAAUCAUCGAAUCUUUGAACGCACAUUGCGCCCGCCAGCACUCUGGCGGGCAUGCCUGUUCGAGCGUCAUUUCAACCAUCAAGCCCCCAGGGGCUUGUGCUGGGGCCCUGCGGCUGCCCGCAGGCCCUGAAAACCAGUGGCGGGCUCGCUAGUCACACCGAGCGCAGUAGCACAUCUCGCUCAGGGCGUGCGGCGGGCUCCUGCCGUGAAACCCCCCACUGUAACCGCAAAGGUUGACCUCGGAUCAGGUAGGAAUACCCGCUGAACUUAAGCAUAUCAAUAAGCGGAGGA